GGACUACCGGGGUUUCUAAUCCUGUUUGAUCCCCACGCUUUCGUGCCUCAGCGUCAAUCGUUGUUUAGUGAGCUGCCUUCGCAAUCGGCGUUCUAUGUCAUAUCUAUGCAUUUCACCGCUACAUGACAUAUUCCGCCCACCUCAACAACAUUCAAGACUGAUAGUAUCAAUGGCAGUUUCCGGGUUGAGCCCGGAGAUUUCACCACUGACUUAACAGCCCGCCUACACACCCUUUAAACCCAGUGAAUCCGGAUAACGCUUGCACCCUCCGUAUUACCGCGGCUGCUGGCAC
rnacentral:rRNA from 1 species